GCUCCUGUCAGAGCCGGGGCGGGAACCCAGGGGCGGAUGGGCCCGCGUGGACGCUGGAGGGUGGAUGGAGACGCGGGCAGACGCUGGUUCUCUGCGCUGUGCCCUCGCUUCUCCGAGUAAAACACACACUGUGGCGAGGAGCUCGGCGCCUAGGGGGCUCUGGGACACAGCUGAAGGUCAUGAACCCAAGUGGCAACGGCCACUGCAGCUCGAUCACAGGCCCCAAGGCCGAGGUACUAACCCUCGGCUGCCGUCCGUCUGGCGAGGGCCCCGGAACUCUGACCCGGCUCUUGCUCCAGCGCGCCUGGCCGCAACCCCGUGGGCCCCUUGCCGCCUGGGCGGCAGGGGCUGGAGCUGUGGCUUCCGUGAGGGGCAGGGCUGCCCGCACGUCACGUCGGGGAGGACCAACUCUUCUCCGCGCGCAGAAGUAGUGACGGUGUUGAACGGUAGUCUGCGACACCUGCCGGGGGAGGCCAGCCGCCAGAUCUGGGAUGGGGGCUGUUCUGGGGAGAAUGACCCAGUUUAUUAAUUAAGGGGCUGGAGGAAAAGAAAAAAAGGAGGACUGUCUGACAAUUAAAGCUUAAAGGAAAAGAAAAAAAGGAGGACUGUCUGACAAUUAAAGCUUAAAAGACACAAUUAAAUGGAUGUGAGGACCUUAUGUGGAUCAUGAUGGGAAAAACCAACUGCACAAAAGACAUUUGUGACACGGAGCCGGACUCCACCAGCAACCUAAAGGAGCCCCCUGGGAGCCCAGCCUGCCAGCACCUGCCACUGUGAGACCUGGAGGGGCACUGAGGCCCUGAAGAAUCCCGUGAGGUGGGCCUUACAUUUCCUGGCUUUAUUGGAUCAUGUUUUGGAUCUCAGCACAUGGAAUAGAUUGAUCCUAGCCCCUGCUCCCUUUGUCAGCACCUCCGCUCAUUCUUGUCCCACUUUGGAUAAUUGCUUUGUUUGGUGGCCGACUCCUCUGCCAAGGGGAAACCAGGGUUCCCAGGCUGGGAGACUUGCCUGGAUGAGGGACCUGAUGUCUAGCAGCAGAUCUCACCCCAACUCGUCUCUGGCAUACUGGCUUUAAGCAGGAAGGAUGUUCUUGGUAAGAAAAUGCCACAAGAAGGGGCCACAGAUGUUCCUGUUGAAAUUACCUUUGCAAAAAGAGUCCCAUCUGUUGCACAGGGAGACAAGAAUAGAACAGAACUCACAGCAUGUCCUUGAGAACUUUGGAAAGACAGCAGUUAGAUCCAGCUGUUCCAGGUGUGGUCAAGGGCCCUCCAUGGGCGCAGUUUUCUCUUCCGAAGAGCUGGGAAGACAGAGGCCCUGGCUUGCCGGAAGGAUGGGGAAGGAGGGAGGAGGCGGCAAGCCCCUCGCACCCUGGGGAGAGCUUAUGAAGCCUGUGGACAUGAGAGAUAAUUGAAUGUAAGGCUGAUUAAAUUGUUCCCCACCAGC